UACAUCCUGCGAUGUUCGUUUCGGUUUUCCGUUGUUUUGAACCAAUGACGAUGUCUAGGGAGACUCAUAUUGAAUCGUGGCUGAACAGCCCUGUCACUCAAGACAAGGGGAAUUCAUAAGCGUUUCUGCGGUCACCCACCUGCUAUAGCAGGUUCGAAGACAAUGAUACCGGACGGCAUAGGCGGGUUUCGU
rnacentral:other from 2 species